UUUUUUUUUUUUUUUUUUAAGAGAGAGAAUUUUUUAAUAUUUAUUUUUCAGUUUUCGGCGGAUAUAACAUCUUUGUAUGUGGUGCUGAGGAUCGAACCCGGGCCGCACGCAUGCCAGGCGAGCGUGCUACCGCUUGAGCCACAUCCCCAGCCCUCCACUAAACUUUAAAAUGACUCAAAUUUGUUGUAAUUUUCCUAUCCUUGGUCUACAGAAAUCCCUUCAAGCUGGCUUGUGAAUUUAUGUAUGUAUGUCUUGUGAAUUCUUUUGUUACACCCUGAUAGUGUUUCUCAGCUUCUGUUACAACAGAAUGUUCCAGGCUUAUUUUAUAUAAUUCUGCUCUGUAUCUAAUAACACCCAUUUCUAUAAGGAGCCUACAGAAAAAUACAUCAUCAACUUAUACUGAUAUUAAAACUUAGAAUGAGGAGGAGGAGGCAGCAUGAGAGGUUCCUAAUGAAGGUAAUAAGAAAGAAUGUAAGACAGGAAAAUAAUUUAAUAUUUUUACUGUGGGCCUUGCUGGGUUGCUGAGGCUGUCCUUGAACUUGUGAUCCUCCUGCCUCAGUCUCCUGAGUUGCUGGGAUUACAGAUGUGUUCCUCUCUACGCAAUUAUUGAAGAAAAUCUUGUGUUAUUCAAAGACUUCUUUCAUUCAAUAUUCUUAUUAACAUGAAGAAUUCUCUUCCUUAAGAACAUAAUUGUGGGGCUGGGGAUGUGGCUCAAAUGGUAGCAUGUUCGCCUAGCAUGCAUGAGGCACUGGGUUCGAUUUCCAGCAUCACAUAAAAAUAAAGUUAUUUUUUUAAAAAAAGAACAUAAUUGUGACUCUUGUGUGAGAUAUUCUUAGGCAUUAAAUGUAAUGAAAAUAUUUAAACAUAUUGAGUUGUUUUUAGGUCUUUUGCCUUGAUUUUAACUUAUUAUUAAUAUUUGAAAACUUGAUGGUUAAGGAUGUGGCUCAAGUCACAGCACACUAGCCUGGCAUGUGUGAGGCAAUGGGUUUGACCCUCAGUACCACAUAAAAAUAAAAUAAAGGUAUUGUGUCCACCUUAAAAAAAAAAAACAAACCUAAAAAGUAGAUAUUUUUAAAAAAUUUGAAAACUUUAUCAACCAGCUAUAAUUGUUUUGAAUACAGAAUGUGUUCCUCUUGCAGGAGCUGUACUUUUGUGUUUUAUUCACCCUUAGGGAAGCCUAAUGUAACUUUCAAAAUAAAUUUCUUAACAUUUUUAAACAUGAAUACCAAUUGCUGAAUAGCAUACAGAAUAUUUCCACAAUUGGGUGAUAAUACAGUAUUUUUCAGUUAUGUAAACUAUGUGAUUGUGCAUUCAUGUGUAAACCUAUGUGUCUUUCUUCUGUCCAAAUAUUUUAUCACUUCCUGAUGUCAAUAUGAUUUUUAAAUUUAUGUUUGAUUUAGAUAUUAUUUCAGUCAAAUUAGAGUUACAUAUAAGGAUAGUCUCACAUGAAAC
rnacentral:lncRNA from 1 species